rnacentral:tRNA from 1 species
AUUCCUUAGGUCGAUCGGUACCUCAGCUUUGAAGUCAAGGAUCAGCAGCAAUGUUGAUUGCUUGGUGGAGUUUUUCAGUUCCUAAACUUUGUCUAGGUCACACCCCAAAAGGGAUGAGACUCCUGGGCCAUUAGCUCAGGUGGUUAGAGCGCACCCCUGAUAAGGGUGAGGUCCCUGGUUCAAGUCCAGGAUGGCCCAUUCGGUGUUGGGGGUUUAGCUCAGUUGGUAGAGCGCCUGCUUUGCAAGCAGGAUGUCAGGAGUUCGAGUCUCCUGACCUCCACUGACCGAACUUGAUUCCCAUCUCCAAUUUUUUGGAGUUGAGCUCGAUUGGAGUGUGAUUUAGAUGUGUCCGCUGGAUGACCCCAGCUUCCUGUCAUUCCAAGUUUUAGGUUGAUGCCUUGAAUUUGGUUGAUAAGAUGCUGGGCUCGGAUCAAAUGAUCAAGCAAUUGAUGAUUUGAUUUGAAGUUCUAGCAGAACCUUGACAACUGCAUAGGUGAGUCUGGAAAAAACAAAGCAUCUUACAGAUGCAUUGUUUUGAAUUCGAUCUUCCGAAAGGGAGAUUGGAUCUAGAACAAUGAAAAUUCUUUUGAGCAAGAGCCGAGACUCUUGAACGUUCUUUGAUUGGUGUCGAGCCAAUCAGAGUUUGAUCUUGUUUUUAGCAAUAAAAACUUGAGAAUCUGCUUUCAACGGCGGUAAGCGUUCAGGAGGUUAAUU